CUUGUUUCUGCUUCAGGUACAGUUAUGGUUCUACACAUAGAGAACAAAGUGAUGGUAAGAAUUCAAAGAUGAAGCCAAAAUCUACCAGAUCCCAGAGUAAAUGUUAAAAUCUUGGGUAUCUAAGGGGAUGGUACAUUCCACUCCAGAACUGGGUUCACUGUGCACUGCUGAAGGAAGAGAGUCCUUCCAGGGGCCCUGAGAUGUAAGGACUGUAGGGCUGCAGACACAAACACACAGGUACUUUUUACCCUAGACCUCACAGACUUCCAAUCAACUUCAUGAUAUCACCUGAAUGAAGAUUUGGAGGUUUUUGAACAUUGGUUCAAUUUGAGCCACUGCCUGAAUGUAAAUGUGACAUGGAGAUUCUGCCCUAGUGGAAUUUCUCUGAUGGACUUUGACAUCCACAAUGACCGCCUGGUCUCCCCAACCUCUUUUUUAGAGUCUCACAAGCUGUUGGCCGCUGAUUUGAUGAGUAUCAUCGCCCCCCCUCUGAGGGAAAGGCUCAGGUAUACACAACAUGAACCACUGCAGCAGAGCCAAGGUGGGAACUUUCCUAGAUACCAGGUGAAGUACUGGUUGACUGUCCAUUUAUGCACAAGCACAUACUCUCUCUCACACACACAGAUCAGGGGGUGGAGAGAAGCCUUUUAGGAUGGGGAACACAUGUGUCCUUCAGAGCUUCUCUCAGUGGUCACUGUCUC
rnacentral:lncRNA from 1 species